UCAGGACUGGAUGUUGGUUGAAUUGAGGAUUCGAGAAGUAGCAUCAGAUCUGGAAGCCUUUGAAAGUUCUCGCUGUUGAAGAAUAAGCAACAUCACUGUAUCCUGCACACGGAUAUAUGAAGUGAUGUGCUGGGAACCGGUGAGCUUAGCUCAAGGCCCCCAGCUGGGCUGUUUGCACAGGUUUCCCGAGAGCGGAACAUCUGCGGCUCAGCUUGAUUCCUGCCUCCCGCCCGGUGUGGUAGGGACCUCCCAGGUGCCUGACCUAUGGCUAUGAUUGUUUUUUCCUGUUGUUUUCCCUGGCCUCUAGUAUAUAUUGCUGGUCUCUCAGUAAAGCUUUGGCAUUCUCCUUACAGAA